rnacentral:rRNA from 1 species
CUUUUUUUAUACUGAGCGUAUUGGAACGUUAUCGAUAAGAAGAGAGCGUCUAGGCGAACAAUGUUCUUAAAGUUUGACCUCAAAUCAGGUAGGAGUACCCGCUGAACUUAAGCAUAUCAAUAAGCGGAGGAAAAGAAACAACCGGGAUUGCCUUAGUAACGGCGAGUGAAGCGGCAAAAGCUCAAAUUUGAAAUCUGGUACCUUCGGUGCCCGAGUUGUAAUUUGGAGAGGGCAACUUUGGGGCCGUUCCUUGUCUAUGUUCCUUGGAACAGGACGUCAUAGAGGGUGAGAAUCCCGUGUGGCGAGGAGUGCGGUUCUUUGUAAAGUGCCUUCGAAGAGUCGAGUUGUUUGGGAAUGCAGCUCUAAGUGGGUGGUAAAUUCCAUCUAAAGCUAAAUAUUGGCGAGAGACCGAUAGCGAACAAGUACAGUGAUGGAAAGAUGAAAAGAACUUUGAAAAGAGAGUGAAAAAGUACGUGAAAUUGUUGAAAGGGAAGGGCAUUUGAUCAGACAUGGUGUUUUGUGCCCUCUGCUCCUUGUGGGUAGGGGAAUCUCGCAUUUCACUGGGCCAGCAUCAGUUUUGGUGGCAGGAUAAAUCCAUAGGAAUGUAGCUUGCCUCGGUAAGUAUUAUAGCCUGUGGGAAUACUGCCAGCUGGGACUGAGGACUGCGACGUAAGUCAAGGAUGCUGGCAUAAUGGUUAUAUGCCGCGGGCUUGAAACACGGACCAAGGAGUCUAACGUCUAUGCGAGUGUUUGGGUGUAAAACCCAUACGCGUAAUG